rnacentral:rRNA from 1 species
UAUUGGUCAAUGGCCUAACGGCUGAACCAGCAACUUGGAGGAAUGUAUAGGGAAAACUGGUAAAAUGUGAUGUACCUACUAGUAUUAGCAAUUAAUACAAGAUUAACGAAGUUAAUUAAAAUUCUAAGCAAAUGUGUGAUAAUGACAAUGUUUGUUUAUGUCUUGGCCAAGUCACGUGCCAGCAGUCGCGGUAAUACGUGGAAGAUAAGUGUUAUUCAUCUUUAAUAGGUUUAAAGGGUACCUAGACGGUUUAUUAAGCAUUAAUGUGUACUAAUUAACUAGAGUUUAAUGUAAGAAGGAUUGAGUACGGUGAGUGUAGAGAUAAAAUUUUAUGAUACCACUUAGGAACUGGUAAAGGCGAAGGCAACCUUCAAUGUAAAAACUGACGUUAAGGGACGAAGGCUCGUAUUAAAUAACAGGAUUAGAUACCCUAGUAUUGUGGGCAGAAAAUGAUGAGUGUCAUAUGCAAGAAAAUUUUGUGUAUAAAUGAAAGUGUAAGCACUCCACCUCAAGAGUAACAUGGCAACAUGGGAACUGAAAUCAUUAGACCGUUUCUGAAACUCGUAGUGAAGUAUGUUGUUUAAUUUGAUAAUCCGCAAAUAACCUUACCACAAUUUGUAUAACCAUGUCAAUCGAUAUGGUUACAAGUGUUGCACGGCUGUCUUCAGUCAAUGUUGUGAAACUGUGGUUAGAUCCAUUAAAUUGACGUAAACCCUUACUUUAUUUUUCAUAAAGUAGUUCGCCGCUAUAUUGGUAGUGAUAUAAGGGACUAAGACAAGUCAUCAUGACCUGAACAUUGUGGGCUAUA